GAUCAUGGCUCAGGAUGAAUGCUAGCUACAGGCUUAACACAUGCAAGUCGAGGGGAAACGACAUCGAAAGCUUGCUUUUGAUGGGCGUCGACCGGCGCACGGGUGAGUAACGCGUAUCCAACCUGCCCAUCACUCGGGAAUAACCUUGCGAAAGUAAGACUAAUGCCCAAUGAUAUCCCACGAAGGCAUCCGAAUGGGAUUAAAGAUUUAUCGGUGAUGGAUGGGGAUGCGU
rnacentral:rRNA from 1 species